UACGUAGGAGGCAAGCGUUGUCCGGAAUUACUGGGCGUAAAGCGCGUGUAGGUGGUGGGACAAGUCUGCUGUGAAAGCGCCUGGCUUAACCGGGCGAGGUCGGCGGAAACUGUCCGACUAGAGGACGGUAGAGGGGGGUGGAAUUCCCGGUGUAGUGGUGAAAUGCGUAGAGAUCGGGAGGAACACCUGUGGCGAAAGCGGCGCACUGGACCAUAACUGACGCUGAUGCGCGAAAGCUAGGGGAGCAAACAGG
rnacentral:rRNA from 1 species